CUCAAGUACACAAAGGAAAGCAGCACAUUCAUUCACCCUCUGAUUCCAUGGAUGCCAUGCGUCACGAUAGAGGAAGAACUUGGAGCUUAAAAGAUGGCAGUUUGUCUUUGGCACAGGAACCUAUCUCACUCGUGAAGCUUAGAGCUAAGUUGGAUUGUGAGGUUGGUAAAAGUCAACUUGAUUGAGUGUAGGAGAAGCCUUUAUAUCAUUGCAGCAAAAAUGGUGUCAUAAUGGGGUGCUUAAAGCUUCUCGAUCCUAUGUUUACAUGCUUUCUGCUACAGCUCUCCAUCCAGUCCACCAAAUUAUGAUGUGUUCUUCGGAUCUUACAGAAGCUAUCAUGGCCUCUCAUACUAUAUUGCUUCUACCAGACCUGAGGCUGACCUAUUUUUUGGUUUUACCUUUGUUUUUUGUUUUUGGACUUGUGAUGAUUGAGAAAUCUUGGAGAUAAUAGUUCCUCAAUAGGAUUCAUUCCUGUUAUGUUUGACUUUUAAUUACUAAAAUUGUUGAUACAACAACAGGAGUAGAAAUUACUAGAGUCAACCCCACUGACUACUUGACCCAACAAAAGCUCAAGUCAUCACCAAAAAGGCCACAGCAACACUCACAGGGGUUGAUGUCCAAACUCCACAAAAAGCUCAGGACAGGUUCAUCUGUGCUUUGGUCUUCAAAGAAAAAGCUAAUGGCACCACUGAGAGUGACACAGUAAACCCAGCGAGGGUUGGUGUCUCGACUCCACUGAGGCCAAGAGAGGAAAGAUGCCAUUUGCAAUCACAAGCUGGAAGACACUACCACCACCAUGGCUCUGCUAAGAUAACAAGAGCUCAUGGUCAGUGGCCACACAACCUUUGACGAGAAGGAAGGUAUCAACGGGGCAGUGGCCUCGUGAUUGGGGCAGAGUUGUUCUCUGCAGGAGUAUCUGCAUCAAUUCAUGUGCACAUGUGUUUUGUGGUGGACAUGGUGGAAUGGAUUGACAGAAUGAUUGAUCUGAACACAUGGAUGUAUGUACAUGUAUGAAGAUGGUGAAAUAUGUGUGUGUGUAUAUAUAUAAUUGGGAAAAGGAAGGUGGAAAUGGAACUGUAUUCCCAGCCAUGGGGAUUGGUGAGAUCUUUAGGUGAGGCAUCUGUUUGGAUUUUGGAGGAGAAAAAGGGAACAGCACUUUUGAGUUAUCUAUAGAUUUGUUAUAUGCUGGCAUCUGUCUUGCAAUCUUGGCUGGUUUUGACUUGGGAUUAUUCCAUUACUUAGAGUCUUAUAUAUAUUUGUUGCAUG
rnacentral:lncRNA from 1 species